CGUAUAUCUCUCUAUCCCUCAACCACGUAUCCCUUUUCCCGUGGACUCACUAGGACCGAGUCACCAUCAGAGAGGCUCACCACGAGCCCAGGGACCCUGCCCUGCGAGUUCAACGACACGGAGCUAAGCUCCGGCGAGCAUUUUCUUUCUUUUCGUUGAGAUUUUGCUUCGGAAAUCAUUGUGGGUGAGCACACCCAUUUUCCGGCGAACCGUGGACUUUGGGAGCUUUUUCCGGUCACCUCCGACCGAGUUAUGGUUUUUGGAAGGACUUAGAAUCAAGACACCUAAUCCCGGCGUGAAG